rnacentral:rRNA from 1 species
UACGGGGGGGGGCAAGCGUUGUUUCGGGAAUUACUGGGCGUAAAGGCUCGUAGGCGGCCAACUAAGUCCGACGUGAAAUCCCCAGGCUUAACCUGGGAACUGCGUCGGAUACUGGAUGGCUUGAAUUCGGGAGAGGGAUGCAGAAUUCCAGGUGUAGCGGUGAAAUGCGUAGAUAUCUGGAGGAAUACCGGUGGCGAAGGCGGCAUCCUGGACCGACAUUGACGCUGAUGAGCGAAAGCUAGGGGAGCAAACAGG